rnacentral:rRNA from 1 species
CAUCGGUGACAGGUGGUGCAUGGUUGUCGUCAGCUCGUGUCGUGAGAUGUUGGUUAAGUCCCGCAACGAGCGCAACCCCUAUUGUUAGUUGCCAUCAUUCAGUUGGGCACUCUAGCGAGACUGCCGGUGAUAAACCGGAGGAAGGUGGGGAUGACGUCAAAUCAUCAUGCCCCUUAUGACCUGGGCUACACACGUGCUACAAUGGUUGGUACAACGAGUUGCGAGUCGGUGACGGCGAGCUAAUCUCUUAAAGCCAAUCUCAGUUCGGAUUGUAGGCUGCAACUCGCCUACAUGAAGUCGGAAUCGCUAGUAAUCGCGGAUCAGCACGCCGCGGUGAAUACGUUCUCGGGGUUU